rnacentral:sRNA from 1 species
UGAGCACAUUUGUUUUUGCCUUUGGGUUUUUCGGCUGCUGCUGCUGCUGCUUGUUUUUAGAUGCAGGCAAAGUCUAAACACUUUCACUAAGCAGCAGAGACACAUAACAACAACAACAACAAAAACCCAAUCCACCAAAGGCUACACGAAUUUCGUGUCGUACAUGACAAACUCUCAGCUCCCUCUACGUCUCUGCCUGUGUCUGUGUCUGUGCCUGUGUCUGUAUCUCUGGCCUAAAGAGUUGGCCUAUAAUGCAGGAAUGUGGGGGGAGACGGAGACGCAGUGCCUGUGGAAGUGGAAGUGGGAGGACAACAAACUGGCUCAUCUUAGCCCUGGCUAACAGCCAAAAGUACAGUGUGUACUCGCAUGCCAUAAAAGGGUAUUUUUCCCUCCCAUUUCAUAAUUAUUACUUCCUGAAAUUCUUCUUUAUGGAACACACAUUAUUCGAACACGAUUCAUUAUUCGUAAUAACCGAUGGUUGGAAGGUCAUCGAUAAAAGUGAUCGAAUUAGGAUCGAACUAGGAUCAUCUCUGAGAUGGAAUGAACGCUUUAAAAAUAUACCAAUUGAACAUCACUUGAGGAUGAUGAAGGAGUUAGCAAACCAUCGCGAGCUUUGAGAGAGUUUAUUGCCUCUGGGACUGGAAUUGCGGUUGGGGGACUGGCACCGAGGACUGGGCACUGGGACUCUGUGGCGACAUUGAUUAACGAGUGCUUAGUUAAAGCGGCACUCAGACACGCGCUGCUAAUGCCACAAUGCCACAAUGCCACCACACAACACCAGACACAUACAUACAUACAUACAUACAUAUUUGAAGAUACACCAACGAUACAACAGCACAGCCGACAGACACCCAACAAUCAUCAAUGAUGGACCGCAACAGCAGCAUCAAAAGUCAACAGCAAUUGCGACAAAAGCGGCAAAAUACUGCAAUAAUAAUUCUCUCUCUCUCUACCUCUCACUCUCUUUAUUCUCCCUACUGUUUUGCUCUUUUCUUUUGCAUUUUUUAUGAUGAAUAAUUGAAUGGGAUUCUAGGAACUAAUUUGAGGAGAAGAAAGGAGUGAAAAGGAACAGAGAGCGAGCCGCAAGAACUAUUUGGCAUUUAUUUGUUUAUUUCC